rnacentral:tRNA from 1 species
GCCUUGGUGGUGAAAUGGUAGACACGCGAGACUCAAAAUCUCGUGACUGCCUUAGGUU